UCUAUUUGGGGAUAUAAAAAGUCUGACCUGCCCCCUGAUAAAAUAUUUAAGGGCCGCAGUAUUUUGACUGUGCAAAGGUAGCAUAAUAAUUAGGUUUUUAAUUGAAAUCUUGUAUGAAUGGUUGGACAAAAGAAACACUGUCUUUGUGUUAAAAAUUGAAUUUAACUUUUAAGUGAAAAGGCUUAAAUAUUCUAGAAAGACGAUAAGACCCUAUAAAACUUUACAUUUAAAUUAAUUUUUUAUUGAAUUUUAAAAUAUAAAAAUUUGAUUUAAUUAUUUUUGUUUUGUUGGGGAGACAAAAGCAAAAUUUUUUUUAAUUGCUAGAUUAUUAAUCAAUGAUAUAUGUGUAUAAAUAAUUUAAUAGAUCCUUUUUAUAGAUUUGAAGAUUAAGUUACUUUAGGGAUAACAGCGUUAUUUCUUUUGAGAGUUCAUAUCGAAAAAGAAGAUUGCGACCUCGAUGUUGAAUUAAAAUAUCUUUAUAAUGUAGCUGUUAUAAAAGAAAGUCUGUUCGAC
rnacentral:rRNA from 1 species